UGGGGAAUCUUGCACAAUGGGGGAAACCCUGAUGCAGCGACGCCGCGUGAGCGAUGAAGGUUUUCGAAUCGUAAAGCUCUGUCCUAUGGGAAGAUAAUGACGGUACCAUAGGAGGAAGCCCCGGCUAACUACGUGCCAGCAGCCGCGGUAAUACGUAGGGGGCGAGCGUUGUCCGGAAUUACUGGGCGUAAAGCGAGCGCAGGCGGUCAAUUAAGUCUGAUGUGAAAGCCCCCGGCUCAACCGGGGAGGGUCAUUGGAAACUGGUUGACUUGAGUGCAGAAGAGGAGAGUGGAAUUCCAUGUGUAGCGGUGAAAUGCGUAGAUAUAUGGAGGAACACCAGUGGCGAAGGCGACUCUCUGGUCUGUAACUGACGCUGAGGUUCGAAAGCGUGGGUAGCAAACAGG
rnacentral:rRNA from 1 species